CGUAAAGAGCUUGUAGGCGGUCUGUCGCGUCUGCCGUGAAAAUCCGGGGCUCAACCCCGGACUUGCGGUGGGUACGGGCAGACUAGAGUGUGGUAGGGGAGACUGGAAUUCCUGGUGUAGCGGUGAAAUGCGCAGAUAUCAGGAGGAACACCGAUGGCGAAGGCAGGUCUCUGGGCCACUACUGACGCUGAGAAGCGAAAGCGUGGGGAGCGAACAGGAUUAGAUACCCUGGUAGUCCACGCCGUAAACGUUGGGAACUAGGUGUGGGUCUCAUUUCCACGAGAUCCGUGCCGCAGCUAACGCAUUAAGUUCCCCGCCUGGGGAGUACGGCCGCAAGGCUAAAACUCAAAGGAAUUGACGGGGGCCCGCACAAGCGGCGGAGCAUGUGGAUUAAUUCGAUGCAACGCGAAGAACCUUACCAAGGCUUGACAUAUACCGGAAACACUCAGAGAUGGGUGCCCCGCAAGGUCGGUAUACAGGUGGUGCAUGGUUGUCGUCAGCUCGUGUCGUGAGAUGUUGGGUUAAGUCCCGCAACGAGCGCAACCCUCGUUCUAUGUUGCCAGCGCGUAAUGGAGGUGGAUUCAUAGAAGACUGCGGGGGUCAGCUCGGAGGAAGGUGGGGAUGACGUCAAAUCAUCAUGCCCCAUUAUGUCUUGGGUUUCACACAUGAUACAAUGGCCGGAUACAAAGGGUGGGGAAUUGGCAAGAAUGGAGCGAAUCCCAAAAAACCGGUCUCAGUUCGGAUUGGGGUCUGCAACUCGACCCCAUGAAGUCGGAGUCGCUAGUAAUCGCAGAUCAGCAACGC
rnacentral:rRNA from 1 species